AUAUUCUUGCUCCCGAUAUGGGUACACCUGGUGUUGUAUCUGGAAACUUCAACAAGCACUCUACAGAUAACUGAUUGUGUAUAACUUCCGAGUUAAAUAAAGAGAAUGUGAUUUUCACGCAGACUAGUGAGAAGGAUGUCAUCGUCCCUGUUCCUUACCAUCAAGCAAUGAUUCGCGGAAUGGAGCCUGCAUUAGCUGCUUCCGGACUUGAGUGCGUUACUGAGCCUGCAGCAAAUAAUAACCCGACAGUAUCAGUUGAAUUUUCCAUUGUUUAAGGAAGAGUUGAUUACUCCCUCCAUUCCAUAAUGCUGUGUGUAUAGUUUUUUUUAAGUCAAAGUUUGCAAACUUUACCACGUUUAUAGAGAAAACUAUUUAUAUCUACGGCACAGAUAUUGUAGAUAUUGUAACUACAACUUACGAUGAAUCUAAUGAUAUAUUUACGG
rnacentral:lncRNA from 1 species